UACCAGCCCCCUGAGUGGUAAGGACGAUUAUUUGGCUUAAAGCGUCCGUAGCCGGCUUAGUGAGUCUCUAGUUAAAUCCAAUGAUUCAAUCAUUGAACUGCAAGAGAUACUACUAUGCUAGAGGACGGGAGAGGUCGACGGUAGUCCAAGGGUAGGGGUGAAAUCCUAUAAUCCUUGGAGGACCACCAGUGGCGAAGGCGGUCGACUAGAACGUGCCUGACGGUGAGGGACGAAAGCUGGGGGAGCGAACCGGAUUAGAUACCCGGGUAGUCCCAGCUGUAAACGAUGCGGGCUAGGUGUAGGGGCAGCUACGAGCUGCUCCUGUGCCGCAGAGAAAUUGUUAAGCCCGCCGCCUGGGGAGUACGAUCGCAAGAUUGAAACUUAAAGGAAUUGGCGGGGAGCACCACAAGGGGUGAAGGCUGCGGUUU
rnacentral:rRNA from 1 species